AAGUAUUUUUUUUCUUUUGCUUUUUCUUAGGCUUACUUCAGUGUUUAAUUUAUUGCUUCGGUGAAAAUUCAGCUGAUAUUCCCUGUAGUAUACACUAUGCUACUGUGUGCCUAAGUAAAACUUAAGCUGAGGUCAUCCAGGUAGUUCUUUGAGAGGAGGCUGCAGAAGGGUGGAGAGACUUCUAGACUGGCUGAGAAGGGAUGGGAAAACUUGGUAGCAGAUUGCAGUCAAAAGAGAAGCAGUGAGAUCCACGGUGGGAAAAUGAACCCAGCAGUCCAUCCUAUCGUGUACCUGCCUGAAUAUGGGAAGAGACCUAGUACAAAGCCAGAGUACAGCUGGGCUUGCAGUCUUUUUAACCAUAUUAAGUCCUGUUCAGAGUUAAUGAUGAUCUCAGUGAGAUGGUCUCAGCAAUGCUGAAGGGAGGGACAGAAUUGGAAGGCAGGAGCUCUUACAAAGCGGGAUUCUUCAUCUUUCUGUAAUGCCCAAACAUGAAGACUUCAUAAACUUCAUUAGAUCCUGCCAUCAAUGACUGAGCCUCCCUGAAAUCUUCUUAUCAGUUACUGCCAAGAUGAGAAGGAUAACAGGAAGGAGGAGUGCUUAAGUGGCUUUAAUAACAGUUAAUUUCAUGUAUUUAUCAAAUGAAAGGUGGUUUUUUCCUCAAAACUCGAUUGUCAUGACAAGAUGCUUUUGGAAGUCAUCUUUGUAAAAUAAAACUGAUAAUUUUUAGGCUACAAA